GAUGAACGCUGGCGGCGUGCCUAAUACAUGCAAGUCGAGCGAACAGAUGAGGAGCUUGCUCCUCUGACGUUAGCGGCGGACGGGUGAGUAACACGUGGAUAACCUACCUAUAAGACUGGGAUAACUUCGGGAAACCGGAGCUAAUACCGGAUAAUAUAUUGAACCGCAUGGUUCAAUAGUGAAAGACGGUUUUGCUGUCACUUAUAGAUGGAUCCGCGCCGCAUUAGCUAGUUGGUAAGGUAACGGCUUACCAAGGCAACGAUGCGUAGCCGACCUGAGAGGGUGAUCGGCCACACUGGAACUGAGACACGGUCCAGACUCCUACGGGAGGCAGCAGUAGGGAAUCUUCCGCAAUGGGCGAAAGCCUGACGGAGCAACGCAGCGUGAGUGAUGAAGGUCUGCGGAUCGUAAAACGCUGUUAUUAGGGAAGAACAAAUGUGUAAGUAACUAUGCACGUCUUGACGGUACCUAAUCAGAAAGCCACGGCUAACUACGU
rnacentral:rRNA from 1 species